ACUUACAUAGCUUAUAUAGAGCGCUAUACUGAAGAUAUAAAAGAGAAUCUAUCUGUGGGUA
rnacentral:tRNA from 1 species